GAUGAACGCUGGCGGCGUGCCUAAUACAUGCAAGUCGAGCGAACAGAUAAGGAGCUUGCUCCUUUGACGUUAGCGGCGGACGGGUGAGUAACACGUGGGUAACCUACCUAUAAGACUGGAAUAACUCCGGGAAACCGGGGCUAAUGCCGGAUAACAUUUAGAACCGCAUGGUUCUAAAGUGAAAGAUGGUUUUGCUAUCACUUAUAGAUGGACCCGCGCCGUAUUAGCUAGUUGGUAAGGUAACGGCUUACCAAGGCAACGAUACGUAGCCGACCUGAGAGGGUGAUCGGCCACACUGGAACUGAGACACGGUCCAGACUCCUACGGGAGGCAGCCGUAGGGAAUCUUCCGCAAAGGGCGAAAGCCUGACGGAGCAACGCCGCGUGAGUGAUGAAGGUCUUCGGAUCGUAAAACUCUGUUAUUAGGGAAGAACAAAUGUGUAAGUAACUGUGCACGUCUUGACGGUACCUAAUCAGAAAGCCACGGCUAACUACGUG
rnacentral:rRNA from 1 species